ensembl:lncRNA
CUUUUUGGUCCAGAAGCACUGCAGUGAAUGGAAGGGCCUCUCACAGUCAAACUCCAUGGCGCCAAAAUUAAAACCAGCGUUAAGGAUGAAACCGGCAAUAAGGAAAGCAUCACCAGAUUUCUUUACAUUACUUAUUGCAGGACGGAAUUAUUUGAGCAGUAAUGCUUCCAGGACCUUUUGAUUCACCGGACAGAGACCAAUCCAAAACGCAUAAUGCCAGGGAAAAUAUAGAGUUAUACUCUGAAGGAUUUGGAAAAGACUAUUUAGCAAUCACAGCAGCACUUUGGCACUUGUGCGAGAGCGUUGCACGCCUGUGCGAGCACAACCUCGCGUCUCUUCCGUUGGACUUGACUUUGUCUGUAUUUGCAUCCAGCUGUCUUCCUGCACGAUAACCAGAACACCGGAAAUUUGCUGAGGAUGACACACACAAUCAAUGAGGAGAUUUUAGUCAUUGCAUCAAAUUAGCAAAUUCUCAAUCCUGACUAAGAUACAGCUAGAAAACGAGCUGCCAGCAACACCCUCUGAAGCAGAUGGUUCCCACCACUUGGAAUGCUCCUUUCUGUGCACUUCAGCAGCUCCUGAAAUAACAGAGUGCUGCAGAACGGAGAAGGAAGAUGACUGGAAAAAUGGAGGCACAUAGAAAUGAAAUGACUAUCUAAAGUCACACCAGUCUCCUUCUUUAACCUGGUAAAUGGCUGAUACAACAAGAAAGAAGUAAGCAUUUACAUAGGUUCAGUGCAACGAACCAGCCAGAGUUAAACUUGAGAAAACCACCAAGGAAAACGAAUCAGGAAUAAAGCACCAACUGUUUGAAAAACAGACGUCAGCAAAAUUAUUUUCUUACCUUGUUGUGACAUUAUGAAGAAAACAAAAACGAGAAUGCAAGUUUUGAUUAAAAAAUCUGUCAGUCAACAUAUAAUUUAAUAUGAAGUGACAUAUACUGCUAAAAGGUACAUUUUAGCAUUAAAGACCAAAACUCCAAUGAUUAAUAUUACAGCGAUGACAGAAUGGGAGUGCCUUAUUUUAAUCCACUGUUUAUCUCAGCAGAGUAAUUUAUAGAUCAC